UAGGUGAUAGUGAAGGUAUUGAUUGGUUGUCAGGUAUUCAGAUGCUCUGCAAUGAAAAGUCUAGAAUGCAUUGGAACCAGAACUAGAGAGGCUUCACACAAACCCCCAGCUGGUGUUGGAAAAGC